GGGGCUGUGGCUCAGUGGCAGAGCGCUUGCCUAGCAUGCAUGAGGCACUGGGUUCGUUUCUCAGCACCACA
rnacentral:tRNA from 1 species